AAAUACUUGACGGCACACCCCCUCCUGACGAUAGAUAACGACACCACUAACCAACUGGACGAACCCAUCUCAAUGGACGAACUGGCCCUGGCCCUGGCCAUCAAAAUGACAAAGAAAGGCAAAAGCCCAGGCCCAGACGGGUUGCCAUUGAAGUACUAUACAACGUUCGCUGAUCACCUCUACGCCCCCCUGCUAGACGCGCUAAACGCACUACGAGAGGGACAUCGCCUCCCUAAACAGUCACUGACUGCUCACAUCACACUCAUCCCAAAGGGUGACAAAGACAGGGAAUACUGCGGUAACUUUAGACCGAUCUCACUAAUCAAUGGCGAUGUCAAAUUACUGGCGAAAAUUCUUGCCACACGCCUCCAAACCCACAUCCCACACUUGAUACACCCAGACCAGGUGGGAUUCGUCAUGGGCCGGGAGGCAAGCGAUAAUACGGUUAGGGCGCUGACCCUUAUUCACGGUCGGGGUGACAACGAUGGAGGCCUUCUCUUGCUGUCCACGGAUGCGGAGAAGGCCUUCGACAGGGUUAACUGGCAAUAUAUGUUCCAUACACUGACUCACAUAGGUCUGGGACCACACUUCAGGAGCUGGGUUGAGGC